rnacentral:lncRNA from 1 species
ACAGGCAAACUGGUAAGGUUUUUGUGCCAGAAAAUAUAUCAGGUAAUAUUUACUCUGAUGCAGGAAGAUACUUAAACACCGGGCAAUAUCCAUUAUCCGCAGGAAAUAUUACUGAUUGGGCUGUUGGUGCCCCUCACAUGGUAGCACCUUCUCAAUCUCAUGUUAAUACAGCAGGAAAUAUUCCUGAUUGGGACGUUAGUGCCCCUCGCAUGGUCGCACCUUCUCAAUCUCAUGUUAAUACCGCAGGAAAUAUUCUUGAUUGGGAUGUUAGUGCCCCUCGCAUGGUAGCACCUUCUCAACCUCAUGUUAAUAAUUUCAUUGGUCAGCCUUGGCUUCCUUCAGUCCAUCAAGUUCAGGG